UGGAUGUUAUCUGAAUGUUGAAGUAAAUACCUCGUAUGUGAAUAAAACAUUUAUGUCCAGUUCCAUCUGUAUAGAAUUUUGUAAAGUAGGUCACUAUAGCCUAGCUGCGUUGUCUGUCAAGAUAACUGGCGCACUUUUUCUGACAAAUGCUUAUGAGGCACAUGGCAUUUGUAGCUGUAGUAAUGAAACUCUUAUGAAUAAAGUGAAUGAAAGCUUGUGUAAUUUUCCAUGUCCAAAAAGCCCGGAUGAAAUAUGCGGUGGCUACAACCAAACAAUUUACUCUGUUCAUGGUGUGGCUAUGCGUGGUUACAAGAACACAGGAAAUAAUGAUCGUAAGUGAUGUCAUGU